GUACUCGCUUCAGCAGCACAUAUACUAAAACUGUAAUGAUACAGAGAAGAUUAGCAUGGCCCCUGCGCAAGCAUGACAUGCAAAAAAUCGUGACGCAUUCCAUAUUU